rnacentral:rRNA from 1 species
UACGAAGGGGGCUAGCGUUGCUCGGAAUCACUGGGCGUAAAGCGCACGUAGGCGGACUCUUAAGUCGGUGGUGAAAUCCUGGAGCUCAACUCCAGAACUGCCUUCGAUACUGAGAGUCUCGAGUCCGGGAGAGGUGAGUGGAACUGCGAGUGUAGAGGUGAAAUUCGUAGAUAUUCGGAGGAACACCAGUGGCGAAGGCGGGCUCACUGGUCCAUUACUGACGCUGAGGUGCGAAAGCGUGGGGAGCAAACAGG